AGUGAGUGUGCAGGCUGUGAACACCCAGGCACACACACCCAGAGGCCAUUCCCUCGCCUUAAGGAUGAUGACAGACAGGCAGGCAGAGGGGCAGUAGUGAGGUGGGAUGUCCUCACAUGCACACUCCCCAUUCCGUGCACACGGACCUGCCCUUCCCACAGAACAUGAGGCCCUGGCUCUGAAAGGCAUCCAAAUUGUCCCCCUCCUCCCCUUCCCCACCGCUCUCUUUCACAGGUUCUGGGUUGGGAGUGCAGUUUCAGGUCCCCCCCACUGCAAGGGUAGGGGUUACUUAACUUUGGAUGCCCAAUUUCACGGGGUCUGAGGAGGAAGAGGCAGGAGGGUGGGUUGGAACUACAGAAGGGCGAGGGGGGUAUAGGGGUAACCCGACUGUAACCCGAGUGCCCUGGUGCCAUGGGAACCGCGUGUCUGACCCGCCCCCUGUGUGAAAUAUUCAGGAGCGGCUGACGCUACGGCCUCUAACUGCUUUUGGGGACGGGAGCUGCGGCCGGCCAGGCCCCAGGGAGAAGUGAAUUCAAACGGUGCUGGAAGGGCCAAGGGGCCUGCCGAACUUACUGCACAAGGCAAGAAACUUACAUGCACCUGUG